rnacentral:rRNA from 1 species
AGAGUUUGAUCCUGGCUCAGGAUGCACGCUGGCGGCGUGCCUAAUACAUGCAAGUCGGACGCUUUGUGCUUAAUUGAUAUGACGAGCUUGCUCUGAUUUGAUUUUUUGAUUUCAAAGAGUGGCGAACGGGUGAGUAACACGUGGGUAACCUACCUCUUAGCAGGGGAUAACAUUUGGAAAUAAGUGCUAAUACCGUAUAAUACCAACAACCGCAUGGUUGUUGGUUGAAAGAUGGUUCUGCUAUCACUAAGAGAUGGACCCGCGGUGCAUUAGCUAGUUGGUAAGGUAAUGGCUUACCAAGGCAAUGAUGCAUAGCCGAGUUGAGAGACUGAUCGGCCACAAUGGGACUGAGACACGGCCCAUACUCCUACGGGAGGCAGCAGUAGGGAAUCUUCCACAAUGGGCGCAAGCCUGAUGGAGCAACGCCGCGUGUGUGAUGAAGGGUUUCGGCUCGUAAAACACUGUUAUAAGAGAAGAACGGCACUGAGAGUAACUGUUCAGUGUGUGACGGUAUCUUACCAGAAAGGAACGGCUAAAUACGUGCCAGCAGCCGCGGUAAUACGUAUGUUCCAAGCGUUAUCCGGAUUUAUUGGGCGUAAAGCGAGCGCAGACGGUUAUUUAAGUCUGAAGUGAAAGCCCUCAGCUCAACUGAGGAAUUGCUUUGGAAACUGGAUGACUUGAGUGCAGUAGAGGAAAGUGGAACUCCAUGUGUAGCGGUGAAAUGCGUAGAUAUAUGGAAGAACACCAGUGGCGAAGGCGGCUUUCUGGACUGUAACUGACGUUGAGGCUCGAAAGUGUGGGUAGCAAACAGGAUUAGAUACCCUGGUAGUCCACACCGUAAACGAUGAGUGUCUAGCACGUUCGGGGGUUUCCGUCCCUUGAGUGUCGCAGUCUCACGUCAUUAAGCACUCCGUCCUGGGGAGUA